rnacentral:rRNA from 1 species
GUGAGGCGAGCUGACGGAGCAUACCGCGUGAGGGAGGAAGGCCCUUGGGUUGUAAACCCCUUUUCUCAGGGAAGAAUGAUGACGGUACCUGAGGAAUAAGCAUCGGCUAACUCCGUGCCAGCAGCCGCGGUAAUACGGAGGAUGCAAGCGUUAUCCGGAAUGAUUGGGCGUAAAGCGUCCGCAGGUGGCAAUGUAAGUCUGCUGUCAAAGCGUCUGGCUCAACCAGAUAAAGGCAGUGGAAACUACAUAGCUAGAGUAAGGUAGGGGUAGAGGGAAUUCCUGGUGUAGCGGUGAAAUGCGUAGAGAUCAGGAAGAACACCGGUGGCGAAAGCGCUCUGCUGGACCUUAACUGACACUGAGGGACGAAAGCUAGGGGAGCGAAUGGGAUUAGAUACCCCAGUAGUCCUAGCCGUAAACGAUGGAUACUAGGCGUUGCCCGUAUCGACCCGGGCAGUGUCGUAGCUAACGCGUUAAGUAUCCCGCCUGGGGAGUACGCAGGCAACUGUGAAACUCAAAGGAAUUGACGG